CCCAGACUCCUACGGGAGGCAGCAGUGGGGGAUAUUGCACAAUGGGGGAAACCCUGAUGCAGCGACGCCGCGUGGGUGAAGAAGCGCCUCGGCGCGUAAAGCCCUGUCAGCAGGGAAGAAAAUGACGGUACCUGAAGAAGAAGCCCCGGCUAACUACGUGCCAGCAGCCGCGGUAAUACGUAGGGGGCAAGCGUUAUCCGGAUUUACUGGGUGUAAAGGGGGCGCAGACGGCGAUGCAAGCCAGAUGUGAAAGCCCGGGGCUCAACCCCGGGACUGCAUUUGGAACUGCGUGGCUUGAGUGUCGGAGAGGCAGGCGGAAUUCCUAGUGUAGCGGUGAAAUGCGUAGAUAUUAGGAGGAACACCAGUGGCGAAGGCGGCCUGCUGGGCUUUAACUGACGCUGAGGCUCGAAAGCGUGGGUAGCAAACAGGAUUAGAUACCCGAGUA
rnacentral:rRNA from 1 species